GUUCUAUUAACUCAGUUGGUUAGAGUGUCGGUCUUAUGAGCCGAAAGUCGUGGGUUCGAGUCCCACAUAGAACA
rnacentral:tRNA from 4 species